UGGGGAAUUUUCCGCAAUGGGAGAAAGCCUGMCGGAGCAACGCCGCSUGAGGGASGAAGGCCUCUGGGCUGUAAACCUCUUUUCUCAAGGAAGAAGAUAUGACGGUACUUGAGGAAWAAGCCACGGCUAAUUCYGUSCCAGCAGCCGCGGUAAUAMGGGAGUGGCAAGCGUUWUCYGGAAUUAUUGGGSGUAAAGAGUGCGCRGGSGGCCUUUNAAGUCUGYUGKUAAAAMKUGGAGCUUAACUCCAUCAUGGCAGUGGAAAYUGAUUGGYUUGAGUAUGGUAGGGGCAGAGGGAAUUCCCGGUGUAGSGGUGAAAUGYGUAGAUAUCGGGRRGAACACCAGUGGCGAAGGCGCUCUGCUSGGCCUUUACUGACGCUCAUGGACGAAAGCCAGGGGAGCGAAAGGGAUUAGAUACCCCUGUAGUCCUGGCCGUAAACGAUGAACACUAGGUGUCGGGGGAAUCGACCCCUUCGGUGUCGUAGCUA
rnacentral:rRNA from 1 species